rnacentral:rRNA from 1 species
UACGGAGGAUCCGAGCGUUAUCCGGAUUUAUUGGGUUUAAAGGGAGCGUGGGUGGAUUGUUAAGUCAGUUGUGAAAGUUUGCGGCUCAACCGUAAAAUUGCAGUUGAAACUGGCAGUCUUGAGUACAGUAGAGGUGGGCGGAAUUCGUGGUGUAGCGGUGAAAUGCUUAGAUAUCACGAAGAACUCCGAUUGCGAAGGCAGCUCACUGGACUGCAACUGACACUGAGGCUCGAAAGUGUGGGUAUCAAACAGG